rnacentral:rRNA from 1 species
UACGUAGGGUGCAAGCGUUAAUCGGAAUUACUGGGCGUAAAGCGUGCGCAGGCGGUGAUGUAAGACAGGUGUGAAAUCCCCGGGCUUAACCUGGGAACUGCGCUUGUAACUGGCAAGCUUGAGUGUGGCAGAGGGGGGUGGAAUUCCGACGUGUAGCAGUGAAAUGCGUAGAGAUGUGGAGGAACACCGAUGGCGAAGGCAGCCCCCUGGGCUAACACUGACGCUCAUGCACGAAAGCGUGGGGAGCAACAGG